UACGGAGGGUGCAAGCGUUAUCCGGAUUCACUGGGUUUAAAGGGUGCGUAGGUGGGCAGGCAAGUCAGUGGUGAAAUCUCCGGGCUUAACCCGGAAACUGCCAUUGAUACUAUUUGUCUUGAAUACUGUGGAGGUAAGCGGAAUAUGUCAUGUAGCGGUGAAAUGCUUAGAUAUGACAUAGAACACCAAUUGCGCAGGCAGCUUACUACACAGUAAUUGACACUGAGGCACGAAAGCGUGGGGAGCAAACAGG
rnacentral:rRNA from 1 species